GACGAACGCUGGCGGCGUGCUUAACACAUGCAAGUCGAACGGAAAGGCCCUGCUUUUGUGGGGUGCUCGAGUGGCGAACGGGUGAGUAACACGUGAGUAACCUGCCCUUGACUUUGGGAUAACUUCAGGAAACUGGGGCUAAUACCUGAUAGGAGCUCCUGCUGCAUGGUGGGGGUUGGAAAGUUUCGGCGGUUGGGGAUGGACUCGCGGCUUAUCAGCUUGUUGGUGGGGUAGUGGCUUACCAAGGCUUUGACGGGUAGCCGGCCUGAGAGGGUGACCGGCCACAUUGGGACUGAGAGACGGCCCAGACUCCUACGGGAGGCAGCAGUGGGGAAUAUUGCACAAUGGGCGGAAGCCUGAUGCAGAAACGCCGCGUGCGGGAUGAAGGCCUUCGGGUUGUAAACCGCAUUAGCCUGUGACGAAGCGUGAGUGACGGUAAUGGGUAAAGAAGCACCGGCUAACUACGUG
rnacentral:rRNA from 1 species